rnacentral:lncRNA from 1 species
AAGGCCUUCGAGUCGACUCAAGCCCAAUCUGAGUCGACUCAAGUUCCAACGACUAGUUCUAUAGAAAUUUUAGAAUGAUCUAGAAAUACUUCUAACAACUAUUUUUUAGAUUUCAAUAGCUAGAAAUAAUUUUUUAAGGUUCCAAAUAGUGGUUUUAAGUCUCUAACAACUGUUUGAAGUGACAAGACAUGAGAAUCAAGGUGAAGAAGCAAAAAUCAAGUGCAAA